rnacentral:rRNA from 1 species
GACGAACGCUGGCGGCGCGCCUAACACAUGCAAGUCGAGCGAUGAAAUUUUAACCGAUCUCUUCGGAGAGAAGAUAAAAUGGAUUAGCGGCGGACGGGUGAGUAACACGUGAGAAACCUGCCUUUCACAAGGGGAUAGCCUCGGGAGACCGGGAUUAAUACCCUAUGACACAUUUCCUUCGCAUGGAAGAAAUGUUAAAACUCCGGUGGUGAAAGAUGGUCUCGCGCCUGAUUAGCUAGUUGGUGGGGUAACGGCCCACCAAGGCCAUGAUCAGUAACCGGCCUGAGAGGGUGAACGGUCACAUUGGAACUGAGACACGGUCCAAACUCCUACGGGAGGCAGCAGUGGGGAAUAUUGCACAAUGGAGGAAACUCUGAUGCAGCGACGCCGCGUGAGCGAUGAAGGCUUUCGAGUCGUAAAGCUCUGUCCUAUGGGAAGAUAAUGACGGUACCAUAGGAGGAAGCCCCGGCUAACUACGUG